CUCCCUCGUCUCCAAUCCGCGCCUGUCUUCACCCUUUAAUCUAAAAUUGGGGUAAAGAAGGAGGCGUAGCGUAGCUCGAUAUAUUUCCAUCCGCUCUCCCUUCGCGCCUCCCUCCCAAAACCUUAAACCGGCGGCAAUUGGCGCGCACUCGACUCUUGGCUCUGGGUCGCCUUCGCCUCCUCUGCGACGACGACGACGCUCGGGCCGGGAGAAUUGUGUGUGUCGCCUUCGCCUCCUCCUCCUCGACAAAACCGCCGCCAAGGGCCGCCGCUCCUACUCGCCGCCUCCUCCCCCUCCCUCCCCCGGCCGGCGCCCUGGCCACGGCCGCAGGCGCUCCUUCGACCACGUCCCCGAGUUCCUCUAGCACUCGGCGAGGCUGAGUCUCUAGAUGCGCCGCGACGCGCUGACGCCGUACCUGGGACUGCUCCGCCAGUCGGCGGAGGAGAGGGUUCUAUGAAAAGUUCUCCAUUUCUUGUUCGCGCUAUUCUUUUUCCUCCACUUAUUUCCAUGUGGACUCGGUUCUAGGGCUCCUUGUUUAUUGAGUUUGUCAGCACGACGAUCUCAACCGUGUCUAGCAUGAUUGGCUUCGUCAAGUCGAGCCAGACAUAGGCCGCCUCAACUAUUGCACCGAAGUUCCAGUAGUUAUAACCCUGGACCACAAGGUAGUUGGUUAAGGCGAGUCUUCGGUUGUCAAGGCUCAAGGAAACGUUUGUUGCUACACCAAGGACUACCUAAUACGCCUCGUAGUGUUAGUAGCAGUCCUAAAGUCGUCUUAACCACACCCCACGGACCAGUCUACAGUUACCGACUAUAUCAAUUUUACCCGUCUGGAGUUCCUUCCAGAAGAUCGUUCAGACGCCGAUGCCGUCUGUUUCGUAAACGACCGGUUUUGGGUAGAAACAGUUUACUUUUCUUGGUAUUGUGUUUUGUUAGGCGUUCGUGUCAGCGGGGCUGUUGUAAACUGGUUCCUAAAGGUCGAGAAGGUCUAGGGUAAGGGGUUCAAUAUUUAAGAUUAGUGCGAAGCCGUCUGUCGGUGGUUUGUGUACUUUUACAAACCAAAUGUGUCCUGCCUGGUGGUAGUGUUUUAGUUAAGUGUCGGGGACCCGGUAGACCGCCGGGUAAUAGUAAACACCGUAGUAACCUCAGUAGUCACGACCAACGACUACGGCAAUUGAACGUACUCUUCAGAGUGUGUCUUCUAUUGCGGAGUUAACAUUUCGUCUGUAGUUAUGGAAGACUCUCUGUGAGCCUUCAAGAAGUGCUGUUUCAAGUUAAGCCACUACUUAAUAACGUCUUGAGUUCAUGUAUGGUUAGAGUUUACGUAAGUAAACGGCUACUUCAACUCCAAAGGUUGCAACUACACCUGAGUCGACGUUGCUUGAAAGUCGUAGAUUCGAACGUUUUCCUUCUAGUUCGUCGUCGAUUAAGACGACUACUAUUAGGUCGCCAAUAUUAGGGGCUAGUAGAUGUUGAACUUUUAUGUCUGACGCGCGUAGACUCGAAACCAUCAAAACUUAGACCACGGAAGAGACCCAACGAAGGUAGGUUCCAGGGAUUUAUAUCAUACCUUCUCCACGGGUUGAGUCUACUUUGAGGUCGUCAACUAGUUUAUCUAUAGUCCUUAGUUCUAAUGAUACUGUUACCACGAGAUGUCAGUAGUCGUUUACUCCUACAACUUUGGUCUUAUCCAUGGUUGUAACUCUUAUAACUACGGGGAAGUCAAAGCGUCGGACUAUAUGACUACGUUCCACGAGAUCUACACAGACCAGAAGUCAUAUUGGGUGGUAGUCAAAGUCUAGUACACAUAGGCUUGUGUUGUGUCGGUUCAUAUUACCUCUCGGUUGUUCCUUUGCGAGUUCGUGUUGUAGAAAGAGUAAAAAGUUCGAACGACCGUGUCGUUCGAUUGUGAGACGUUUCGUUGAAGAACCCCAGUUUAGAAUGGGUCGUGGCCCUAAAACUGAAGAGUGGCAAAAAUAGUCGUGUCAGUCGUUACUUUAUAUUGGGUCGACACGGUUGUUGGUCAAUGGGUUAGAGGUACGUUCUCUUAAAUUUGGUUCCCCCAAAGAGGUUGUGAGUUAGAUGUGUUUUAGGAGGGUCAUGCUCGUAAGGCAGUCCCGAUGGAGUUGGAGUCGUUAAUAGAAAUGUAGGCAUGAGAGUCGGUUGAGAUGGGGAUCCCAGAAAACGGUCAAAUCAGCCGAUAGGUAUGAACGGAGUUUUGAUGAUACAUGGUGGUCGUCGGAAGGUCGUUCGCAUAAGUUCAUUACCUGGAAAGGUAGUUAGACCACCACGACGACACGGACCUAGACGAUACUUUAUAAGCUACGGUGUCAUGUUCUCACCGGAAGGACAGUGUUCGGGUGGUGUCGUAAGUAGUCGUCAGAGACCAAUACCUCCGAAACCUUCGAGUUCAUUAUAUGGCUUAAAACCGGUUUUGGUCUCACGGAGGGGACGGUGCUGAUACCCCUAACUACUUCGAAAUUCAAGUGUCAAGUUUCUCCGGUUAGUGAUAUACCGGGAUGUCGUCUCGCUGUUGAGUCGCUACACCGAAGUACCUCGACGACCAAGUUCUCGACAAAGUCGACAAGGUGGACCAUUGAAAAUGCCGAAGGUCCCGGUCUCGCGCGUCCCACCGAAGGCGCUCCACGUUGUCGGGAGAGUCAUACCACCGGAACCCGUGGGCUCGAAGAUGGUCAGCGUCUUACCAUACGUCGUCCUCGUGGGCGUCUUGGGACGCCUCCCUUCGGACUUGUCGAGGGUCUGACGGGGCAGAGUCGGUAGUGUGGUCUACACCGUCGUGUCGAUGAUUCUACAUCCAGACGAAGACACCUUCUUCGUGGAACCGUACGCGGCACUUCGUUUGUCUGGUCGACUCGACGGAAGAACUCGCGGUUCUUCCCCUCCAGCUACGCGAAGAUAUCAAAGCUUCAUACAACCAAAAGGAAAAAAGAGAGUGAGAAGAAGGAGUGAACAACACACAGAGCCCUCAGCCCUGAUCAAAGUCUAGCAGCACUCAAGAUGAGCUAUCACUCGACGAAAGAACAUUGUAGAACUCGAGCAGAGGACCCGCGACCUCCGCAGCCCUACUAAUAACCACUUGAAAAACGUAAAGUCCCUACAGACCUUCCGUCGAAGCCGAAACUUCUAGUAAAAAAAAGAAACUGAUUUAGGAGAUUGCAGUACCGGACUGCCUGCACUUUACGGGAGAAACAGUCUCAAACUUCUUCAACUGGUGUAAAAUAGAUCUGAUCUCUACGAGAAACGGUCUAAAUACACCUCAACACAGUCCAGCGAAGGGCUACGUCAACCUUGGGAAGGACGCAACGAUAUAAAAGAAAGUAGAAGUCACGGUACUUG
rnacentral:rRNA from 1 species